ACUCAAUAGAUACCCGGGUAGUCCACGCCCUAAACGAUGUCUACUAGUUGUCGGGUCUUAAUUGACUUGGUAAACGCAGCUAAACGCGUGAAGUAGACCGCCUGGGGAGUACGGUCGCAAGAUUAAAACUCAAAGGAAUUGACGGGGACCCGCACAAGCGGUGGAUGAUGUGGAUUAAUUCGAUGCAACGCGAAAAACCUUACCUACCCUUGACAUGGAUGGAAUCCCUGAGAGAUUGGGGAGUGCCCGAAAGGGAACCAUUACACAGGUGCUGCAUGGCUGUCGUCAGCUCGUGUCGUGAGAUGUUGGG
rnacentral:rRNA from 1 species